GGGGGGGGGUUCAGUAGUACGGGGGUGGCACUGCGGGUGACACGGGGGACCUUGGGGUGACACCCAUGGGUGACACAGGUGACACCGGCGUGUCCUGGAAGGUGACACAGGUGGCAUGGGAGUCCUUGGGGUGACACCUGCGGGUGACACAGGUGACACCGGUGUGUCCUGGUGGGUGGCACAGGUGACACAGGUGACCCAGGAGGUGACACAGGUGACACCGGUGUGUCCUGGCGGGUGACACAGCUGACACAGGUGACACCGGGAUGUCCUGGUGGGUGGCACAGGUGACACAGGUGUCCUGGAAGGUGACACAGGUGACACCGGUGUGUCCUGGUGGGUGACACAGGUGGCAUGGGAGUCCUUGGGGUGACACCUGCGGGUGACACAGGUGACACCGGCGUGUCCUGGAAGGUGACACAGGUGACGCAGGUGA